AAAAGGCAUUCCACUCAGAGUCUUCAUCUUGACUGAAUCCAGAAGUAUUUCCAGUUUAUAUAAGGGCAGUGUUUCUGCCAGAAUAAUUCUUAGGCUUAACAAUGCAGAGCGCAAGUGUCACUACACAUCUACACAGCUCAAGUUAAAAUUGUUCAGCUACCUGUUCAUGGAAUUUGAGUCAAAAUGCAUUGAAAUGGAUGCUUCAUUUCCCUUUCAGCAGCUGCUUCUGGAACAAAACCUGCCUUUGACUUAA
rnacentral:lncRNA from 1 species